UGAGUGAACCAGGUGAUCGCGGGAAGACUCUACCGAGUCUUCUUGAGGAAAGUCCGAGCUCCAUAGAGCAGGAUGCUGGGUAACGCCCAGUGGGGGUAACCCUAAGGCUAGUGCCACAGAAAUAGUCCGCCUAGAGAUAGGUAAGGUUGAAAAGGUGAGGUAAGAGCUCACCAGCGGUUAGGUGACUAAUCGGCUAGGUAAACCCCAUCCGGAGCAAGGUCAAAUAGG
rnacentral:RNase_P_RNA from 1 species